rnacentral:rRNA from 1 species
CCUACGGGGGGCAGCAGUGGGGAAUAUUGCACAAUGGGGGGAACCCUGAUGCAGCGACGCCGCGUGAGUGAAGAAGUAUUUCGGUACGUAAAGCUCUAUCAGCAGGGAAGAAAAUGACGGUACCUGACUAAGAAGCCCCGGCUAACUACGUGCCAGCAGCCGCGGUAAUACGUAGGGGGCAAGCGUUAUCCGGAUUUACUGGGUGUAAAGGGAGCGUAGACGGCAGCGCAAGUCUGGAGUGAAAUCCCAUGGCUUAACCAUGGAACUGCUUUGGAAACUGUGCAGCUAGAGUGCAGGAGAGGUAAGCGGAAUUCCUAGUGUAGCGGUGAAAUGCGUAGAUAUUAGGAGGAACACCAGUGGCGAAGGCGGCUUACUGGACUGUAACUGACGUUGAGGCUCGAAAGCGUGGGGAGCAAACAGGAUUAGAUACCCGAGUAGUC